rnacentral:rRNA from 1 species
GAGUUUGAUCGUGGCUCAGGAUGAACGCUGGCGGCGUGCCUAACACAUGCAAGUCGAACGGGUGUACGGGAAGGAAGGCUUCGGCCGGAAAACCUGUGCAUGAGUGGCGGACGGGUGAGUAACGCGUGGGCAACCUGGCCUGUACAGGGGAUAACACUUAGAAAUAGGUGCUAAUACCGCAUAACGGGGGAAGCCGCAUGGCUUUUCCCUGAAAACUCCGGUGGUACAGGAUGGGCCCGCGUCUGAUUAGCCAGUUGGCAGGGUAACGGCCUACCAAAGCGACGAUCAGUAGCCGGCCUGAGAGGGCGGACGGCCACACUGGGACUGAGACACGGCCCAGACUCCUACGGGAGGCAGCAGUGGGGGAUAUUGCACAAUGGGGGGAACCCUGAUGCAGCGACGCCGCGUGGGUGAAGAAGCGCCUCGGCGCGUAAAGCCCUGUCAGCAGGGAAGAAAAUGACGGUACCUGAAGAAGAAGCCCCGGCUAACUACGUGCCAGCAGCCGCCGCCGUAAC